GCAGCAGGAAUAACUUUACCGAAGCGAUCUCCGUACACUCGUGAAGUGACUCUAUUUCGUAGUCCUGCGACACGUUAGAAUUUACAAGAGAAAAUGUGAAUUUUCCAGUAGCCGGGCCGAAGUGCUAUGCAACAUGCGGGAGUGCUACUGUCUCGCAUAAGUAACUUUGCUAAAGGCAUGCCUGCUGAAAGCAGAGCGAUACAGAAGAUGAUGUAAGCGCGUGACCAGUGGCUGCUGACAUUUGGGAUGCCGUGUGCAAAGAGUUUUGUAAAAACGACAGUUAGGAGCAAAGGCAGCCAUCGAAUGCUAGCUAGCGGUGAAUCACCAAUUGCGCUUACUGCUUGGAGAAAUUAAACGUAUCUGAGGUCCGUUGCGAUGAAACGCAUGGACUCAUGCGGGCCCAUUUACAAGAAAGGUCCUUAACUAGGCUUAACUAGGAAGCGCGAGGUCGUCGGUCUGGGAAACUACAGUCGCUGUAGUAGCAUGUCUGCUGACGGUUGCAUGUAGCAGCCUGUAGCAGCCGUUGCGAACCUUCAGGUACCGCACCUAUUGUCUGCAUAUUACGUGUUAUGGAAAGGGGUGAUGUAGUAGCUGGCCGCUGAAAGGCUGUACCAGCUACUACAGGUGAUACCACCAUCAGACCACUCCGAGAUGUCAAAGCCAACCGUCGCUAAUUGUUCCAAAUGGAAGCUUGUAAAUAUAAGUAUUAAUGUUUCGUGAGUGAAUUGCGUACUUUGCGGAAUUGAGUGUGUGCCAUCUUUUGAAUUGAAUUGUUACAGAGCGGGAGGCUUCUGGGCCAUUUAAACAUGUCUGGGUCAUUUCUACGAUUUAUCAUACCAUUCAGCACCAUCCACCAUUACCACACUGUACUACGCCUUCCGAACUGGAGUCCAAGGCAGUUGAUCCUGCCUUCUAGGACCCCUCCUCAUCCAUUCACCCGAACAACCGCGGAGGCAGAGGGUUCAGCAAUCGCCAGCGUGCGAAUCUCUAUCCAUCAACUGUGACCUCAACUCCACAACUCAGCAGCUAGCCAUUAAUCUCACGCUCCCGGCAAUGUCGGGGGUCUUCCCAGGAAUUGAAACUAGGACCUUAAACUGUGUAAGACUGUAGUGUCGACAGUAGUGGUAGUGUCGACCAGACCAGAUCAUGUGCCAUCUGACUCCGACGGCAACUAUGUAUCAAAGUUAAGGAUGCAACACCACAAUGGAACGGAAACGGCAUGACAUUAUAUGUUAUGUGUUUGUCAUGGAAAACAAUAUGCAUAUUGUUUUCCAUGACAAACAAAUAACAUAUGGACACGGAUGGACAUAUGGACAACUUGGACGACUUGGACGACUUCUGUUGCAAGUCAUGUCACAAGGCAUAUGUUAAACCAUGACCCUGAAGCAAACGAAAACCAAAUGAACUUUGGAAUCUCUAAUACAAAUUAAGGAAAGACGAAUGUGAAAAUGAGGGGGGGGUCUGACCCGUGUACCGGGCACACUGAUUUCCUCUCCAGCGGGAGACGUACACCCAUGCUUUCCUUCGGCAGCCUUUGCCUGUUUCGUGCGCCAAGCUGAUGUGGACCUUCAGGUACUGCACCUAUUGUCUGUAUAUUACGUGCUACAGGAAGAAUAAUCAGGUAACUGAAGGGUCUUUCCAUUGGCAUUUCCAAAAAUACCAACUUUGAAACGUUUUUUAGUUCUCUCCGAAAUCGCUCUCUCAUGGUGGUCUUAAGACCAAAAGAUCACAAGCUUGUGAGUCAUUAUUUCAGUCAGACCUAUCGGUUAAAGAGCUUUGGACACCUGUAAUGUACAUCGUGAUACGGUAUGGGGUUCCCUAGCUAUGUAUGGCGGCGGGAAGCCACAUUCUUUAGUUGCAUGUAACCCCAGAAGUGCAGACCACCCUCCGCGCUCGAGCAGCUCACAAGUCGAUAACAGAUGCUUCGCAGUGUAUAUAGCUGAAUUUUAAGGAUUGAAAAUGUCAAACAACUUGCCGUAUUGCCAAAAUAGUACACUCUCCCGACCAUGUAUCAAAUUUGCUCUGUAGCGACUUCCAGCUGGUCAUAGAGAACUGAGUUUGACGGCUUUGGUUGCGUAUUGUUCCGGGCAUAGCAGGAGACCGAAUAUUGCCAUAUCAUUAAUUAUAAGCUAUAAACGCGUUGAGAACGGUCAUAUGCUUACGGCGCACCGCAUAAAGACUGACGAAUGUAGAUUUCGAUCUCGCGACGUAAAAGCAGGCGGUUUGUGUCUUACGAUCUAGCUUCGGUCUGAGAAAUGUUCUAUGAAAAAUAUUCUGUACUAGUCUCUUCUCAGUUUCCGUUGGCCGCCUUGAACCUGGCCCGGAGCAACGUAAACUGGUAGUUACCGUUGCGUAAUGAAGCAGUUGCUGCGCGAAAAGGGUAGCUGCGUCUUACGUUGACCAUACGACAGUUGUACGAAUGGCGGGCGCGUUUGCCAUAUAUAAGGCGCGGCCUGACCAAUAUUUUCUAAGGGAUAUUCCAAUCAUACAACUCCCGCGCACGGUAGCAGGAUGCACCGGCCAAGGCAGUUUGUAACGGGUAUCGCCUUCAGUUGGCAUGGAUGACUCCCACCCAUUUUAUCUUGUCAACAACCGGCUAGGUUCCAACCCGACAGUGGGCCUAGUGGCCAAGAGGCAGAAAAACUCUGCUCACAUCAGGCUCACAACCACACCUGGGCCUACGGUCUCAGGUAGGGAUGCGAAUUUACGUUUUACGUUUUUACGUUUUAAGGAAUUAAGGUUACGUAAUUACAUAAUUAAGAUUGGACCUGGCCGUAAUUUACAGAAUUAAGGGCUCGCCGUAAUAAGGUCCCUCAGGAGGGGUAGAAACCUUAAAAGCUUAACAGACCCAUGGGUCUUACAGGUUCCGCCGGUCUGCAAACCAGGGUGCCGCUGACCCGUCCACUCCUCCGAACACACCACAAACCCAGCCAUGGGGGAAGCGUGAAAGAGUCCAACAAUGCAGGUUGAAACCCGCGAUUCCCUCCGCCCAACCAAGCAAAAGAGCAAGUCAAGUAGUCGGAGGGCUUGGCCUUGUCGCACGACGUGCGGGGCGGCAGGACCGGCAAGCCCGCAGCAUUGCGAGGGGGCAAAGCGUACGCGAGCAGCGUGGUGCCCUUUUUCAUAUGCUGCUGCUGGUCCUUAAGAGCAGGUGGUGUUGCAGUAUCAACGCCGCCAUACGCGCCGGUGCCGGGGGUCGUGCCCACGUCAGCCAUGGUUCAAACUGGAAAGGCGAUAGUCGCCAAGUCGGCUGUACAAGCGCCAAACUGGUGUCAAAAAUAUGUAAAUAAGUAAAGAAUGGUGUUGCGAAUGUGAAAACGCUGAAAUUGUGCUGAAAAUCCAAAAUCGUACACUAGUACGGCAACCUUAAAUUAAGGGUCCAGGGUCCAGGCCGUGGAAACCGUAAAUUACAGUAAUUUACUAUAUUACGCUUUUAAGCUUACGUAAUUAAGGUUGUCAAAUCCCAAUUCAGCUGAAACUCACAUCCCUAGUCUCAGGACAAAACUCUGAUUCUGCUUCCGCUCGCGCACACAAAUCUCGAUCCUAUCUCGCUUAAGACAAUCUACUGGUAUCGAUUCCUUUCUAUAAACGAUCCUGGGCGCCCCGGUGUGUCCAUCCAGCGGUUCCCCCAAACGAGAAAUUUUUUGGGCUGCCGCAUUUGGCGCGGCGCUACAGCACCUCAAAAACGCUUACGCUGAUUGCACCAGCU
rnacentral:lncRNA from 1 species